GUCAUUUUUCUGUUCAUGUCCGGUUGAGUCCCGUGGACGUGUGAGGGGGUGGCGGCAAGAGCCAUAUGGCGGCAUCACCUACAUAUACACCACCGCCUCUUACUGUUGAAAUAGGACACUUCACAGUUAUGAACGAAGCAUCUGGUACAACGGUGAAUUAGAACACUCUGCAUGAUGGCCGACCGGAUCGUGGAUGUUAUUCAGAGACAAAGAUACACUGACGUACGGAGCCGAGGACACGUGCGAGGCGUGCCACGAUUUACACGUGAUCUGCAUGUGAUCAGUAUGUAUGGAACAUAACGCGGGAGUCCACCAGUCAUACUUGCACAUGAUCUAAUUACUGAGUACUCUUUUGUUUGUUGUUAACAGCAGGUCACCACCUGGUACUCGCAGUCGGAUUCUUCAGCUUGUAAUAGAUUUGAAAUCCCGACAUUAAU